CAGGACGAACGCUGGCGGCGUGCCUAAUACAUGCAAGUCGAACGGUCUUUCUAUGGAAGCUUGCUCCACUGAGGAGAUAGUGGCGGACGGGUGAGUAACACGUGGGUAACCUGCCCAUAAGAGGGGGAUAACAUCCGGAAACGGGUGCUAAUACCGCAUAGUUUUCUUGAUCGCAUGAUUGAGAAAGGAAAGACGGCCUUUGUGCUGUCGCUUAUGGAUGGACCCGCGGCGUAUUAGUUAGUUGGUGAGGUAAUGGCUCACCAAGACGAUGAUACGUAGCCGACCUGAGAGGGUGAUCGGCCACAUUGGGACUGAGACACGGCCCAAACUCCUACGGGAGGCAGCAGUAGGAAAUCUUCCGCAAUGGACGAAAGUCUGACGGAGCAACGCCGCGUGAGUGAAGAAAGGUUUUCGGAUCGUAAAACUCUGUUGUCAGAGAAGAACAAGUUGGAGAGUAACUGCUCCAGCCUUGACGGUAUCUGACCAGAAAGCCACGGCUAACUACGUGCCAGCCGCCGC
rnacentral:rRNA from 1 species